rnacentral:rRNA from 2 species
GCGCGCUUAACACAUGCAAGUCGAGCGAUGAAACUUUAACAGAACCCUUCGGGGCGAAGAUAAAGUGGAUUAGCGGCGGACGGGUGAGUAACACGUGAGUAACCUGCCUUAGACAUUGGGAUAGCCUCGGGAAACCGGGAUUAAUACCAAAUAAAAUCAUAAUGACACAUGUCAUAACGAUCAAAACUCCGGUGGUCUAAGAUGGACUCGCGUCCCAUUAGCUAGUUGGUAGAGUAAAAGCCUACCAAGGCGACGAUGGGUAGCCGGCCUGAGAGGGUGAACGGCCACAUUGGAACUGAGAAACGGUCCAAACUCCUACGGGAGGCAGCAGUGGGGAAUAUUGCACAAUGGAGGGAACUCUGAUGCAGCGACGCCGCGUGAACGAAGAAGGCUUUCGAGUCGUAAAGUUCUUUUAUAUGGGAAGAUAAUGACGGUACCAUAAGAAAAAGCCCCGGCUAACUACGUGCCAGCAGCCGCGGUAAUACGUAGGGGGCUAGCGUUGUCCGGAAUCACUGGGCGUAAAGGGUUCGCAGGCGGAAAUGCAAGUCAGAUGUAAAAGGCAGUAGCUUAACUACUGUAAGCAUUUGAAACUGCAUAUCUUGAGAAGAGUAGAGGUAAGUGGAAUUUUUAGUGUAGCGGUGAAAUGCGUAGAUAUUAAAAAGAAUACCGGUGGCGAAGGCGACUUACUGGGCUCAUUCUGACGCUGAGGAACGAAAGCGUGGGUAGCAAACAG